rfam:Salmo salar isolate Sally breed double haploid chromosome ssa22, whole genome shotgun sequence.
UGCACGCACGACUGUUAGCCGCUUUGGAUAAAAGCGUCUGCUAAAUAGCAUUUA